UGAUGAUCAUGGCGAUGAUGAUGGUGAUGAUGGUGGCGUUGGUGGUGAUGAGUUUGUUUGAGUUGGAAGGAAAAUCGAUUUUUCAUCCUUCUUCAACCACCAUCAUCAUCAGCAUCAUCAUUUUCA
rnacentral:pre_miRNA from 1 species